rnacentral:tRNA from 1 species
GUGAGGAUAGCUCAUUUGGUUAGAGCGUCGGAAUGUGGUCCCGAAGGUCGUGGGUUCGAAACCCAUUCUUCACC